rnacentral:rRNA from 1 species
UACGUAGGGGGGCGAGCGUUGUCCGGAGUACUGGGCGUAAAGCGCACGCAGGCGGUCUGCUAAGUUUGGAGUGACAGUUGGUGGCUUAACUGCCAAAGUGCUUUCGAAAACUGACAGACUUGAGGGCUUACAGAGGGACACGGAAUUCCGGGGUGGAGUGGUGAAAUGCGUAGAGAUCCGGAGGAACACCGGUGGCGAAGGCGGUCUGCUGGGGUCGAACUGACGCUGAGGCGCGACAGCGUGGGGAGCAAACAGG